GACGAACGCUGGCGGCGUGCUUAACACAUGCAAGUCGAACGGAAAGGCCCUGCUUGCAGGGUGCUCGAGUGGCGAACGGGUGAGUAACACGUGGGUGAUCUGCCCCUUACUUUGGGAUAAGCCUGGGAAACUGGGUCUAAUACUGGAUAGGACCAUGCUGUAGGUGGUGUGGUGGAAAGAUUAGUUUCGGUAAGGGAUGAGCUCGCGGCCUAUCAGCUUGUUGGUGGGGUAAUGGCCUACCAAGGCGUCGACGGGUAGCCGGCCUGAGAGGGUGGACGGCCACAUUGGGACUGAGAUACGGCCCAGACUCCUACGGGAGGCAGCAGUGGGGAAUAUUGCACAAUGGGCGCAAGCCUGAUGUAGCGACGCCGCGUGGGGGAUGACGGCCUUCGGGUUGUAAACUCCUUUCAGCCAUGACGAAGCCCUUGUGGUGACGGUAGUGGUAGAAGAAGCACCGGCUAACUACGUG
rnacentral:rRNA from 1 species